GUACUUGCUUCUGCAGCACACAUACUGAGAUUGGAACAAUGCAGAGAUUGCCAUAGCCCCUGCGCAAAGAUGAUACACAAAUUCAUGAAACAUUCUAGUUUUUA
rfam:Neotoma lepida isolate 417 scaffold_9937, whole genome shotgun sequence.